GCCAAUAUGAAUUAGGAACCGGAAAACUCUAAAAAUCAAUUCCAGCCACGGUUAAACCGUGGUUAAACUACAAAUUCUGAAAAUUCCACCAGAACGCAGUCAUUCAUCAUCAAUCAUCAAUCAUUAUCUCACAAAUUAAUCCUGCAAUGACCCCUUCCAAUUGGUAGGUAACAAUAUCUCACAAACUUUAAUUAGAUCUCUACCUAAUUUUUUGGAUCUUCAAUUUGUUUGUUAAUAUUAUUAUCAUAAAU
rnacentral:lncRNA from 1 species